UGGGGAAUUUUGGACAAUGGGCGAAAGCCUGAUCCAGCAAUGCCGCGUGUGUGAAGAAGGCCUUCGGGUUGUAAAGCACUUUUGUCCGGAAAGAAAUCCUUGGCUCUAAUACAGUCGGGGGAUGACGGUACCGGAAGAAUAAGCACCGGCUAACUACGUGCCAGCAGCCGCGGUAAUACGUAGGGUGCAAGCGUUAAUCGGAAUUACUGGGCGUAAGCGUGCGCAGGCGGUUUGCUAAGACCGAUGUGAAAUCCCCGGGCUCAACCUGGGAACUGCAUUGGUGACUGGCAGGCUAGAGUAUGGCAGAGGGGGGUAGAAUUCCACGUGUAGCAGUGAAAUGCGUAGAGAUGUGGAGGAAUACCGAUGGCGAAGGCAGCCCCCUGGGCCAAUACUGACGCUCAUGCACGAAAGCGUGGGGAGCAAACAGGAUUAGAUACCCUGGUAGUCCACGCCCUAAACGAUGUCAACUAGUU
rnacentral:rRNA from 1 species